AUUUGCCAUUACAAUAGACGACUUCGAACCAUGUCAGGACCGGAAGGUAGCAGCAUUAAGAAUCAUCGUUUAUGUGUGAUGGCAUUUAUU
rnacentral:SRP_RNA from 1 species